AGCGAACGCUGGCGGCAGGCUUAACACAUGCAAGUCGAGCGGGCACCUUUCGGGGUGUCCGCGGCGGACGGGUGAGUAACGCGUGGGAACGUGCCCUCUGGUUCGGAAUAACUCAGGGAAACUUGAGCUAAUACCGGAUACGCCCUUUUGGGGAAAGGCUUGCUGCCGGAGGAUCGGCCCGCGUCUGAUUAGCUAGUUGGUGAGGUAACGGCUCACCAAGGCGACGAUCAGUAGCUGGUCUGAGAGGAUGAUCAGCCACACUGGGACUGAGACACGGCCCAGACUCCUACGGGAGGCAGCAGUGGGGAAUAUUGGACAAUGGGCGCAAGCCUGAUCCAGCCAUGCCGCGUGAGUGAUGAAGGCCUUAGGGUUGUAAAGCUCUUUUAUCCGGGACGAUAAUGACGGUACCGGAGGAAUAAGCCCCGGCUAACUUCGUG
rnacentral:rRNA from 1 species